rnacentral:rRNA from 1 species
GAUGAACGCUAGCUACAGGCUUAACACAUGCAAGUCGAGGGGCAGCAUGGUCUUAGCUUGCUAAGGCCGAUGGCGACCGGCGCACGGGUGAGUAACACGUAUCCAACCUGCCGUCUACUCUUGGACAGCCUUCUGAAAGGAAGAUUAAUACAAGAUGGCAUCAUGAGUCCGCAUGUUCGCAUGAUUAAAGGUAUUCCGGUAGACGAUGGGGAUGCGUUCCAUUAGAUAGUAGGCUGGGUAACGGCCCACCUAGUCGUCGAUGGAUAGGGGUUCUGAGAGGAAGGUCCCCCACAUUGGAACUGAGACACGGGCCAAACUCAUACGGGAGGCAGCAGUGAGGAAUAUUGGUCAAUGGGCGCAGGCCUGAACCAGCCAAGUAGCGUGAAGGAUGACUGCCCUAUGGGUUGUAAACUUCUUUUAUAAAGGAAUAAAGUCGGGUAUGUAUACCCGUUUGCAUGUACUUUAUGAAUAAGGAUCGGCUAACUCCGUG